AUUGAUGAGUUCUUGGAUGUCAUUGAUGCCAUUGUUUGUGAAGAAGAAGAAAAAUUGAAGAGGAAGAACGAAAAAUGUCAUUGAUGAGUUUUUGGAUGUCAUUAUUUGUAAAAAUGUCAUUGAUGAGUUCUUGGAUAUCAUUGAUGCCAUUGUUUGUGAAGAAGAAGAAGAAGGAAAAGAAGAAGAAGAAAAAUUAAAAUAAUAUAUAUUUAUUUAAAGAAAUAUUAAAAUUAAAUUUUUAAUAAAAAAGAUCGGUUCUCGCUUUCUUUAAAGAGAGUGAAACACAUACUCUUGCCGCGUCAGCGUUUGGGGGUAUAUAUUUUAUUUUUAAAUAGUUUAGGGGGUCAUAGGAUCCUUUAAAAUGUAUGUGUGUAGUUAAAAUUUGGGGUAAAGGUUUGGGGGAUAGUUGAUCAUUUUCUCUUUUUAUUUUGAAAUAAAUUUUUAUUUACUUAGCUUUAAAUUUUGACUUUAUUUAGCUUUAAAAUUGAUUGUUACUUUUUUUUUUUUCUUUCUUGUGUUGUUUAUGUUGACAAUGAUUUAAUUUGAUUAUUGUUAACAUUUAGUUUGUUACACAGUUAUGUAUGUUAACUAUGUAUUUUUUUA
rnacentral:lncRNA from 1 species